rnacentral:tRNA from 3 species
UAUUUUUAAUUGACAUAGACCAAGUCAUCUAGUAAAAU